rnacentral:lncRNA from 1 species
UUUUUUAAAUGGAGAGUAACAUUUUGUUGGUCUUUUAAUCAUAAUAUAAUCAAUGUUGCUUUAGAAAAUUGCAUUUCCUCAUCUAGUAACUCAGGGUUUGUCUUGCUCUUAAAGAUGGAUUCAGUUAUAAUCUGGUACUUGAACUUUCCAUUUGGAUACAUGAGAACCUUUGCAGAAAAAGUUGUUUUGAGGAGAGAAUCCAAAACUACAGUGCCCCCAUUUGAAAAAAUAAGGAUAAAAUGGCAAGUUUCUGCUAUUGAAACCACAAAAUACAUGAUUAAAUGCACAGAAGAGUAUGUUUUCUGAUAAAUCUGAUGCCUAUUAGCAAAUUCAUCCCCAUUAUCAGUUACCUAAAUUUCCUAAUAGUGUUCUGUAGUCUUACAGCUUUAACAAAUAGUUUUCUAUCAUACAAUUAAGUGCCAGAACUCAGUUUUGUCUGAGUCCAAAUCUGUAAUCUCAGUCACCAACCUAGUUGCCUAUUUAUCUUUGCAUUUCUACUACAGCUAACAUAUUAUGCCUUGUGCAUAAUACAUGUUCAGUACAUGUUUGUAGUCUUUAGAGUAUAUCAAGCCAUAAAAUGCUACCAUUGAUCUCUUUAGCAGUGCUUCAACCCAUAGUUUAAAUACUAUUGCCCCAAACAUUGGACUUUCAAUGAAAUAUUUGCAAAUUCAUAUUUUGGAUUAUACUUUUAAUAGGUGCAUGCCAAUAAUAAUUUUGAUCAAUUGAAGAGUGAGGCAACAUCUAUCAGAGACCCAUUACUGACAACCCACAGAUGAAUUGGAAGCUAUCAAAUAGUUAAGUCUGCCCAUAAUUUUUUCCACCUAGGGCUCCCCUUGGUUUCCUUUACAAAUGAGAAAAUAAAAUUUAUUUUCAUUAUAAAGAAUGUAUUUUUAAAGCCAAACUAUUUUACAUGCUCUGUACAAACUGAAAUACUUAUUUUUACUUGAGAUGCUUUCCUUCUGACAUGUUCUCACUAUGACAUUUUUGGAUAAGAAAGAUUCCUUUGAUAGCAGGAUUUACCAAAUUUUUCAUAUGCAAUUUAAAGUCUGUAAGAGAAAUUGAUAAUCUGUCCUUAAAUGAAGAAAGAAGAAGAGUGGAGGGAGGUGCAGCUGGAGAGAGAGACACAUAGUGAGCUCAUGGUGAAGAGCUUCAGUUUUAAUUUAAAUGUAAUGGGAAACUGUCAGUUUUCAAGGAAUUUUAUUGAGGUAUAGUUUACAUAUAAUAAAAUGUAUUUAUUUUAACUGUAUAUUUUGAUGAAUUUGACAAAUGUCUGUAUCCAAGUAGCCACUCCCACAUUGAGAUAUAGAACAUUUCCAUCACCAAAAAGUUCACUGUGGUCUAUACCAAUUGGUUCCUUCCCUACCUGGCCCCAGACAACUGUGGAUCUACUUUGAGGCACUCUAGAUAGAUUUUUCAUGACCAUAGUUUGAUAUAAAUGAGAUAAUCCAAUACGUACACAAUUUUGUUAGGCUAUUUUUGUUCUGCAUCAUGCUUUUAAGAAUCGCCCAUAUUGUGGCAUGUUCAUUCCUUUUUAUUGUUUAGUACUGUUUCAGUGUGUCACUGAACUGUGAUUUAUUUUUCCACCUAGAGUUCCCCUUGGAAUAUCAUAAAUGGCAUUUUUGUGGCAGACGUUUGCUUUAUCUCCAAUGUUUGGCUAUUCUGAUUAAAACCGCUAAGAACACUCACAUUCAAGUCUUUGUGUGAACAUAUGUUUUCAUUUCUCUUAAAUAAAUAAUUAGUAAUGUAAUUAGUAUGAUAUGAUAACUGUAUGCUUAAUUUUUAAGAACCUGCUUUUUUUUCCUGAACUGGUUAUACCAUUUUGCAUUCCCUCCUGCUUCCUGAGAGGAUUUCAAUAUUCCAUGUCCUUAUCCAUUUUGAACUAGUAAUCUUUUAAAUACAGUGAAUAAUGGUACCUCAUUGUGGUUUUAAUUUGCACCUCUUUGAUGUCUAAAAUGGAACAUAUUAUAGUGUGUUCACUGGCUAUUGGUGUAUUAUCUUUCGUAAGGUGUCUGUUUAAAUCUUUUGCCCAUUUUUAGUUGGGUUGUGUCUCUUUGUAUUAUUGAGUUUUAAGGGUUCUUUAUAUAUCCCAGAUACAAGCCCUUUGUCAGAUGUAUUUUGUGAAUAUUUUUCCACAUUUUUUAUUGGUGCUUUAUAGUUGUACAUAAUGGUGAGAUUUCUUGUUACAUAUUCAUAUAUGCACACAAUAUAACAGUAUAAUUUAACCAAUAUCACUCCCCCUCUAUGAAUAUUUUCUUUAACUUAUAAGAGCAAAUCAUUUGUGUGCUUCACUGUUAUUAGUGCAUAGGGAAAGAAUAAUCUUAGAGAUGUAAGUCAAUUUAGAUUUGUUCAAAAUGAAGAUAUAAAAUAAAGAAUAAUACAGGCAGCAACUGUGGAAUUUGUGGGCAAGUGACAUUCAGGGAAAAGAUCUCUAGUGGCAGAACAGAAGGAUAUUAGAGGGCUUAGGCCUGUGAGGCAGCUAAUGAAAAGCAGGACCAUGAGACACUUUCAACUUUGGUCAAUAAAUCACACAUUAAAUAAUCAAAAUCAUAAAUCUGUAGUCAUGAAGGUAAAUAAAUAUACUGACUGUAUAAGCGUGGCUAUGUUAGAGGACAAACCACUAGUUGUAUUAUUCUGACCAUUGCUUUGCAGCAAUUGGGCACUGGGAGGCAAAUCUAAAAAUGAGCUGGCCACUUUCUCUAUUCAAAAAGCCUAUGUUCUGACUUAGGAUUUUCUAAUUAGCCAUCUUAGCCCAUGGUGAUUAGAACAGCGAGGGGAGUGUUUCUCGUGUAGUGAUUGUAAAGGCAGCCUGUGCAGACUUCAGCACAAUUCUAUUUCCUGUCAUUUAAAGCAUGCUGAGAAAGGCAGUUAUUUGUACUCUGCAAUUGCUCCUUAAACAUGCCUAAAGGAAAAACCUCUGAAGUCUUCAGUAAAUGCGUUCUGGUGUUUGUUAUGCUAAAGUUUCCCCACUUUCUGAGUGAAUUAAAUAUUUUAUUAUACAAGAAUUGUAACAGCAAUUUUCAGAACAGUUUAGCCACAUCCUUGGAGAAUAAAUCGCAGAAAAUCAUUACAGUGCUCCCAGGUUUUCACUGUUACAUUCCAUAUGUUAUGUGUGGUGUGUAUUAAUAUGUACACUUCUCAUAUUUUGAAAUCUUGAAUUUAUUAUUCCAAACUUGCUAGUAGGAACUUUGCUUGUCUCUGUGUCUCUUUUUAUUUUUCUUACACUCUGCACAAUUAUAUGAUUAGAAGAAGCUGUACUCUCCCUUACCCUGUUAAGGAAAGGAAACAAAAAGCAGAGUCCUCUAUGCCCAAGGUAGUUUCAAAAAGCAUACAACCCAGAUUCCACAGUAAUGGGAGAAAAUAUCAUUGGCUUCCUCAGUAAUGAAGUCCUGAGCUCUGUCCCACUGUGACUCAAUUUCUGGAAGAACUACUAAUUCCUGGGCUGGGGGUGGAGCUCAGUGGUGAGGUCAUAGGUUUGAUCCCCAGCACUGCAAAAGUCAACAAACAAACAAACAAAAAACCUACACUUACCUCAAGCCCCAACAUACAAGCUUGGGCUUCUGAGGAAGGCCUAAAAUUUGUAUACAAGGUUUUUUGUAAGAUGUAGAGCAAUAAUCUUAAGGAAGAUGCUUUCACUUCUAAAGGUUCUAGUUUCGUACUCUUCUUCCAUGAAAUCUUAAAUAAUAGGCUCAUAUUUAUAUAAUAAUUUUAAACUAGCAAAGCAGCUUCCACAGUCCUUCAGUGUCAUGCUGGAGAAUGCUUAGCAAUACACCCUUAAAAAUAAAAAGAGGGAAAAAAAGACUUUAUUUGUAGAGUUUGCCAAAUUCUGUGUAAAUGUUUUGGCUGUAGUUGAUUUCAAGGAGAGGUGACAGUGUCGAGUUGGGGACAGGACAGAACCACUGGUGCUAAGGGGGUGGGUUUGGGGGGUGGUAAUGGUGUCAGAAUGGUUGUGGAGGGGCACUGUGCAAGAGCUUUUCACAUGCCUUCAUUGAACUCCCCCCAAGAAAACUGGACGAGGUAGGUAUUACUAUCUCUUUUGCUGAUGGGGCUCAAAGAAGCUAAAUCACAAGUUAGAAAAUGGAGGAGCCAGAACUGGAAUUCAGUUUACCUGACUGACUUGCGUGGAGUCAGACAACCACCAAGAAGAGCUGCAUCAGACCUCAGAGCCAGGAGUCCUGACAGGGAGGCCUCACUUCUCCCUCAUAUGCUCUCCUAACUUAUUCCCAAUCUAUGAAAUUAGAGAGCUCCGUAUCAUGGUCAAGUCCAGAUACUGUCAGAGCACUUUCAUUUUAUCUGUACUCGUGUAUACAUCAAGUGGAAGUGAGACAGAAAAGUAAGGGCUAUUCUGGGGGAACAAAAGAGAUUUUAGAGAGGGCCCCAGCUCUGCCCUAUUAGCUGUGUGAUUAUGGGAAAUUGACUUAAUCUUUGGGUGUCCUGUUUUUCUCUUAUGUGGAUUGAGGAUGAUUAGUACCUACAGAGUGAAUGCUUGAUAAAUAUUACCCAUUAAUCCUACUGUCCAGCUUUUAUAUGUUUGAUGAAACAAAGAUGCUAUGUUCAGAAAAAUACAUUCAGAAUAUAUUACAAUCAUGUAUUAUACAUUAUUUGUACAUUCAGAAACAUGGAAUGAUUAAAAGACAAUUUAUAAAUGAUUGCUACCUCUUAUAACAACUGUAUGAGUUCUUACAAAUACAUUUCAGGGUUUUAACAAACAGUAGGACUGAUAUUUUUAUUUGAAUAAUAAUUUGAUGCAAAUCUUUCCUUAUCUUUUUAAUAAAAAUCAACUGUAUCAGAUUGCAAAAUGGUAGAGAGAGAAAAUGCAUGAGCAAGAAGUAAUGUCAAUCCAUAAUGAGAAAUAAAGCAUUUAAAAUAUUGUUGAAAACUCCUGUGGAGACCUUCAGGAUCCCAUUUCCCUCUAAACCAUUCCCAGGGUUACUACUGCUUUAAUGUUUAUCAUUUCUACAUCUUUUUACUCUCACUACAUGUACCUAUUGCAUAUCCCCACAUAUUGCAAUAUCCCCACACAAGAUACAGAAGUCUUUUAUGUUUUUAAAUUUUCAGCGGUGAUAUUAUAUAUGGUCUUCUACUACUUGCUUUGUUUUAAUUGCAUGGCAUAGGGGAUUAAUCUAUGUUCAUUUAUUUUAACAGUGAUAACUUUUUUCCUUUUUUUUAGUUCUGGAGAUUGACUGCAGGGCCUUACACAUGCUAGGCAAGCAUUAUACCACUAAGUUACAUCCCCAGCUAUAUAAGGUUUUCUAAAAAAUAAAUUGAUAAACGUUUAAAUUGUUUCCAUUUUUCAUCAUCCCCAAAUUGUAAUAAUUCUUACACAUGCCACCUUCUGAAUAUAUGGAAGAAUUUCCUCUGGAAUUUAUACCUAGUAGUAUAAUUUCUAGGUCACAAUUUCUAGGGCAUCUUCAAUUUUACUAGAGCAAAAGAAUCCUUUUUCACCAAUUGUCUAUUUACCCUCUCAUUACCAAUGUAUGCAAGUUCUCACGGAACCGUAUCCUCAAAAUGCUUUUUAUUGUUUGACUUCCGAAAAACUCCAGAUCUAGUGGCUAUGAAAUUGUCUUGUAGCUUUAAUUUGCGUUCCCCUGAGAAGUUGGAAUUUGCCUGUUUGCUCUGAGAGCCUAUUGCUGCCUUUCACCUCUAUUCUGGAGGGAGCUAAUUCCUGCAAGUAUGUUUCCCAAGAUCCUUUGCUCACUGACUCCCAUUUACUUAGCUAAUAGGAAGCUCUGGUGAGAGACUGGAGGGGAAAACUAGAGUCUCCCUCUCUGUUGGGUUUCAAGUGAGAUCCCUGUCAGGGCUUUAUCUCCUCCAUAGCCCCAGCUACUGAGGUACAUCCCCUGUUCUGGCUCCUAUUCUUGCAAGAUGGCUUUUUCUCCAUUGCUCAUUGGAUAGCCCUAGCCUCUGGAUUCUGAAAACACCAUCUCUCCAUCUCUUUUCUUUCCAGACUAAAGGUUCCCAAAGUUAUAUCUCUUGGUCGCCCUGCCUUUGGGGUUUCUGAAGCAUCUGCAUUAAAUUGAAAGCAGAAUCCUUGUCGAUACAGCUGAUAAAAGUGAGGCCGAUCUGCUUUUCUUUCCCUCCUUUUUCCUUUUGCCAUUUAGACUUUUUGAUAUAAAUUAAU